CCUACGGGUGGCAGCAGUGAGGAAUAUUGGUCAAUGGGCGGGAGCCUGAACCAGCCAAGCCGCGUGAGGGAAGAAGGUACAGCGUAUCGUAAACCUCUUUUGUCAGGGAACAAAGGCGGGGACUAGUCCCCGGAUGAGGGUACCUGAAGAAAAAGCAUCGGCUAACUCCGUGCCAACAGCGGCGGUAAUACGGAGGAUGCGAGCGUUAUCCGGUUUUAUUGGGUUUAAAGGGUGGGCAGGCGGCCCGUUAAGUUAGCGGUAAAAGCCCGGGGCUCAACCCCGGCGAGCCGUUGAAACUGGCGGGCUGGAGUUGAAUAGAGGUACGCGGAAUGCGCGGUGUAGCGGUGAAAUGCGUAGAGAUUAGGAAGAACACCAGUGGCGAAGGCGAUUCUCUGGACUGUAACUGACGCUGAGGCUCGAAAGCGUGGGGAGCAAACAGGAUUAGAUACCCCUGUAGUC
rnacentral:rRNA from 1 species